UACAGAGGUCUCAAGCGUUGUUCGGAUUCAUUGGGCGUAAAGGGUGCGUAGGUGGCGAUGCAAGUCUGGUGUGAAAUCUCGGGGCUCAACCCCGAAAUUGCACCGGAUACUGCGUUGCUCGAGGAUUGUAGAGGAGAGUGGAAUUCACGGUGUAGCAGUGAAAUGCGUAGAUAUCGUGAGGAAGACCAGUUGCGAAGGCGACUCUCUGGGCAAUUCCUGACACUGAGGCACGAAGGCCAGGGGAGCAAACGGG
rnacentral:rRNA from 1 species